UCAAUCUUUUCCCCUUCAUUUCUCAUUACUUCUCUUGCAGAACCACCAGUACCACCUCAUCCAUCUCCCCGACCAAUUCUGCUCUCAACUUCUAUCAUAAACACCAUCAAUUAAGCCUCUAAUUACUAUCUCUCUCAACCUUAGGUUUGAGAGAGAUAGAAUUAGGGUUAUCUUCUCCAACAGCUGGAAGAGUAGGUUUGCAGAGAUGAAAUUGAAGAGGGAAAACGCGUUUUGCCAGGUAAGUGUAAAGCUGAGAACAAAUCAAGGAAAACGAGAAAAGGAGAACAACGCAGCUGUUAGUGGGGCUAAAACCAGUUGGUCAUUCUCGAACCUCAUUAUACUUUAUAUCCGUAUGAAUGAUAAACCAUGAUAGUCUGAUACACUAGCUGCCCUACUGAGCAUUAUACCACACCUGCAAUUUUUGAUAUCCAUAAGCAUGAUUUUGCGAAAUUUGUGAUUUGUGAUUUCACUAAGAACUCCUUAAUCUCGGCAGAACCUCUUUCUGUGUGUAUUCAUCCCUGGAACUGAUUGUCAUCCCUAUAAACAUUACUCUUCUGAGUUGUGACAUUUGCUUGUUUUGUAACCAGUACACCAAUUUGAAUUUGUCUGCAAGAAUCUGAGAACUAGUUUUUCAGUCCCAAAAACAUGAGCCUGUGAUAUUUGAGUUUUGCAUUGGUUAGCUGAGUUUGUUAUUGGCUGUACUAAACUUGAAUGAUUGUGAAUCUCUGAA